GACAGAGGAUGCAAGCGUUAUCCGGAAUUAUUGGGCGUAAAGAGCUCGUAGGCGGUGUGUCGCGUCGGCCGUGAAAACCUGCAGCUUAACUGUGGGCUUGCGGUCGAUACGGGCAUCACUGGAGUUCGGCAGGGGGGAGUGGAAUUCCUGGUGUAGCGGUGAAAUGCGCAGAUAUCAGGAGGAACACCGGUGGCGAAGGCGAGUGUCUGGGCCGAUACUGACGCUGAGGAGCGAAAGCGUGGGGAGCGAACAGG
rnacentral:rRNA from 1 species